rnacentral:rRNA from 1 species
GAAAGAUUCAUCGGAAGAGGAUGGGCAUGCGGCGCAUUAGCUUGACGGCGGGGUAACGGCCCACCGUGGCGACGAUGCGUAGGGGUUCUGAGAGGAAGGUCCCCCACACUGGUACUGAGACACGGACCAGACUCCUACGGGAGGCAGCAGUGAGGAAUAUUGGUCAAUGGGAGAGAUCCUGAACCAGCCAAGCCGCGUGAGGGAAGACGGCCCUAUGGGUUGUAAACCUCUUUUGUCGGAGAACAAAACCCGGGACGUGUCCCGGACUGCGUGUAUCCGAAGAAAAAGCAUCGGCUAACUCCGUGCCAGCAGCCGCGGUAAUACGGAGGAUGCGAGCGUUAUCCGGAUUUAUUGGGUUUAAAGGGUGCGUAGGCGGUCUGUUAGGUCAGCGGUAAAAUUGCGGGGCUCAACCCCGUCGAGCCGUUGAAACUGGCAGACUUGAGUUGGCGAGAAGUACGCGGAAUGCGCGGUGUAGCGGUGAAAUGCAUAGAUAUCGCGCAGAACUCCGAUUGCGAAGGCAGCGUACCGGCGCCAGACUGACGCUGAGGCACGAAAGCGUGGGGAUCGAACAGGAUUAGAUACCCUGGUAGUCCACGCAGUAAACGAUGAAUGCUGGUUGUCCGGGUCGAAUGAGACCUGG